rnacentral:rRNA from 1 species
GAUGAACGCUGGCGGCGUGCCUAAUACAUGCAAGUCGAGCGAACAGACGAGGAGCUUGCUCCUCUGACGUUAGCGGCGGACGGGUGAGUAACACGUGGAUACCCUACCUAUAAGACUGGGAUAACUUCGGGAAACCGGAGCUAAUACCGGAUAAUAUAUUGAACCGCAUUGUUCAAUAGUGAAAGACGGUUUUGCUGUCACUUAUAGAUGGAUCCGCGCCGCAUUAGCUAGUUGGUAAGGUAACGGCUUACCAAGGCAACGAUGCGUAGCCGACCUGAGAGGGUGAUCGGCCACACUGGAACUGAGACACGGUCCAGACUCCUACGGGAGGCAGCAGUAGGGAAUCUUCCGCAAUGGGCGAAAGCCUGACGGAGCAACGCCGCGUGAGUGAUGAAGGUCUUCGGAUCGUAAAACUCUGUUAUUAGGGAAGAACAAAUGUGUAAGUAACUAUGCACGUCUUGACGGUACCUAAUCAGAAAGCCACGGCUAACUACGUG